rnacentral:rRNA from 1 species
GUCAAGUCAUCAUGGCCUUUAUGGCCAGGGCUACACACGUGCUACAAUGGCAGGUACAGAGGGAAGCCAACCGGCGACGGGGAGCCAAUCCCAGAAAGCCUGUCUUAGUCCGGAUUGCAGUCUGCAACUCGACUGCAUGAAGCUGGAAUCGCUAGUAAUCGCAGAUCAGCAUUGCUGCGGUGAAUACGUUCCCGGGUCUU